rnacentral:rRNA from 1 species
UACGUAGGGGGCGAGCGUUGUCCGGAGUUACUGGGCGUAAAGCGCACGUAGGCGGAUAUGUCAGUCAGGGGUGAAAUCCCGGGGCUCAACCUCGGAACUGCCUUUGAUACAGCAUAUCUUGAGUCCGAUAGAGGUGGGUGGAAUUCCUAGUGUAGAGGUGAAAUUCGUAGAUAUUGGGAAGAACACCGGUGGCGAAGGCGGCUCUCUGGACCGAGACUGACGCUGAGGCGCGAAAGCGUGGGGAGCAAACAGG